UGAAAACUACUUUUGACAGGUCUGGAGUCUGAACAUCCAACUUCAAGGGGCCAAUGGAUUUGGUGUUUGGUGAGAGCCUGUUUCUAGGUUGACAGACGCUAUCUUCUCAAGAAAAUGUAGUUCAGCCUGGCCUUCCACUUACGGUGAUCCUCCUGCUUCAGUCUCCCAAUUGCUGAGAUUACAAGCAAGUACCACCACAACCAGCCCACAACAUCUAUCUUCUAAAGAGACAAAUAUAUACAGAAUAAAGAUGAUGUAAAGACUCAAGGAGAAGAUGCUCAUCUAUAUUCCGAGGAGAAAGGCCUGAGAAGAUCUUCCUUCACAGCCCUCAGAAGGAAAGAGCCCUGCCAGCGCUUUUAUCUUAGAUUUCCAGCCUACAGAAAUAUUAGAAAAUGUUUCUGUUGUUUCAACCACUCUGUAUUUGGUACAGUGCUGGAGCAGCCCUAGCAAAAUGAUGCAA